rnacentral:tRNA from 1 species
UCAGCAGUAAACUAACUGGAAAGUUACACGCUUUGGGUGUGUGUUUUGUAGGUUCGAGUCCUGCCUGCUGAA